UCAGGAUGAACGCUAGCGAUAGGCCUAACACAUGCAAGUCGAGGGGCAGCACAUGAGUAGCAAUACGAUGGUGGCGACCGGCGCACGGGUGAGUAACACGUAUGCAACCUACCUUUAACAGGGGAAUAACCCGUUGAAAAACGGACUAAUACUCCAUAACACAGGGGUCCCGCAUGGGAAUAUUUGUUAAAGAUUAAUCGGUUGAAGAUGGGCAUGCGUUCCAUUAGCUUGUUGGUGAGGUAACGGCUCACCAAGGCCACGAUGGAUAGGGGAACUGAGAGGUUUAUCCCCCACACUGGAACUGAGACACGGUCCAGACUCCUACGGGAGGCAGCAGUGAGGAAUAUUGGUCAAUGGAGGCAACUCUGAACCAGCCAAGUCGCGUGAAGGAAUGAAGGUCUUAUGGAUUGUAAACUUCUUUUGCAAGGGAAUAAAGUGGGGGACGUGUCCUCCUUUGCAUGUACCUUGCGAAUAAGGAUCGGCUAACUCCGUGCCAGCAGCUGC
rnacentral:rRNA from 1 species